rnacentral:tRNA from 1 species
UCUAAUGUGGCAGAAUUAUAUGCAAUGAAUUUAAAAUUCAUUUAUGGAUAUUUAUAUUUCUUUAGAA